rnacentral:rRNA from 1 species
GACGAACGCUGGCGGCGUGCCUAAUACAUGCAAGUCGAACGCAGUGGGGACGGGUGAGUAACACGUGGGUAACCUCCCCAUCAGAGGGGAUAAAACUUGGAAACAGGUGCUAAACCGAUACUGCUGGAUGGACCCGCGGUGCAUGAUCUAGUUGGUGAGGUAACGGCUCACCAAGGCCACGAUGCAUAGACGACCUGGGUGGGUGAUCGGCCCCACAGGUACUGAGACACGGCCCAGAGUCCCACGGGAGGCAGCAGUAGGGAAUCUGCGGCAAUGGACGAAAGUCUGACCGAGCAACGCCGCGUGAGUGAAUAAGGUUUUCGGAUCGUAAAGCUCUGUUGUUAAGGAAGCGGUACUUAACCAGAAAGGGACGGCUAACUACGUGCCAGCAGCCGCGGUAAUUC